rnacentral:rRNA from 1 species
UACGUAGGGACCAAGCGUUGUCCGGAAUUAUUGGGCGUAAAGAGCUCGUAGGCGGUGUGUCGCGUCGGCCGUGAAAACCUGCAGCUUAACUGUGGGCGUGCGGUCGAUACGGGCAUCACUGGAGUUCGGCAGGGGAGACUGGAAUUCCUGGUGUAGCGGUGAAAUGCGCAGAUAUCAGGAGGAACACCGAUGGCGAAGGCAGGUCUCUGGGCAUUAACUGACGCUGAGGAGCGAAAGCAUGGGGAGCGAACAGG